UCUCAGCCUCUCAUUCCCUCACCAAACUCCCACGUGUUGCCCAUCGGUAUCUCCGUUGUUGUAUCAGACAAAAGCACGUAUGUACAUUCAAAAUCUACAUUCAAAAUCAGUUGUUAUGUUUUCACUUUUCAGCUGUGAUUGUUUGAGUUGUGAUUGAUGGAUUCCAUGGAAAGGACUAAUUUGAAGUCGGUUGUUUAGGAGCUCGAUUGUGGUAUAUAGUUUUUCAGUUGUAAUGAUGGAUUUUUUAGAAAAAGCCCCUCUCAAGUCGCCGGCAUCGGAGUCGGAAGGAAUUGAGUGUUACAUGAGAUGUUGAUUGUAUGGAGAGUUGCUCAAAGUUGUCGGUGGUGAAGAAAGGUAUUUUGGUGAUUGUUUGACAAUUUAGGAUGACCGCUUAUUUUAUCAAGACAAAGUGGCCAGAAAAAGCUCCAAAGAGUGAAGAAGAACGGAAGGAUUUUAUUGCUUCAGUUCACAAGCGAAAGACAAAGCUAUUUAUGGUCCUCAUUGAGAAGAAGUUGUUUCCUCUACGGCCUGGUGUUGCAAAAUUAAUUGAUCAGACAUUUGCAAAAGGAGUAAAAGUUGCUGUUUGCACUACUUCUAAUGAGAAGGCGGUAUGCUUCAUCAGGUUCUUAACUUAUGAUGUGUAAUAGCCUAAUAGGUUUUGUAGUUCUUAUGAAAGGAAGAAAUGAUCCUUACGGAGCUAAUAUAAAAUCUUGGGAAAAGAUGGAAAAUGGAAUCAUGUUAUAGAUAAAUUAUAUUGUUUUAUUUAUGCCAUGUUAUAGAUAAAUAUUAAUAGAUCUCACGUUUUAAGAUACGUGCCAAGUUGUUCACGGUCUCUAUUAUUUUGUAAGCAUUUAUUUAUUUGGACUUUUGUUCAUGAAACUUUAUUUUCCGGCUUUUAAUGACUAUAUAUUCUAUGCUAUUGUAUUGAUAGAUAUAUGCAAAAACAUAAGAAAGUGAGCAUCAGAGAAGUAAAACAUUGCAGGCAUAUUUUGGAAGGCCUUCUUUACCUCUAUAGCAUAAUCCUCGAAUUAUACAUAGGGAUCUCAAGUGUGACAAUAUUUUUGUAAAUGGUACUCAAGGAGAAUUCAAGUGAUCCUGGCCUUCUGUCAAAAAAAAAAAAAGAAGUGAUCUUGGCCUUGCUGCAAUACUAUGCACAUUACAUGCUGCUCACUGCAUUGGCAAGUUCGUGCACUUUGUAUUUUAAGGUUCAAAUAAUUCAUGUAAAGUGGAUCUGUGCAAGUGAAAAUAGUUCAAUAUAUAGCAUUUGGUGGAGGUUGGUGUUCUUCUAUUAUUUCAGUAGCAAUUGUCUUGCUUUUAGUUGGACUAACCAUGAUGUUUCUUUCAGCUAUUGAGAAGCCUCAAGCUAUAUAGCAGCAGAAAGCUACAAAGGCAGAACACAAUUUCAGAGAAGAUGGAUCACUUGGGUUUGCCUUCAGUCCUCUCCUCAACGAAUUAAUAUUGCCCUGACAAGAGCAAGGACUCCGGAAAGAGUUGUAGCCUGUAGGCUAAGAUGGAUCAACUAUUUGAGGCCGGAUGUGAAGAGAGACAAUUUUCUUCUGAUGAGGAGGAUGUAAUUAUUAAGCUGUGGUCUCUGAUUGCUGGAAUGGUAAUUUCAAAAUUCAAUCCUUUGUCUGAGCGGAAGGAAUGGACUUUGGUGCCAAUAAAAUAAAAGUGUUCUAUUUUGUGGGUAAGUAAUAUAAUCUUUUGUCACCCCUUCAUUAAAUUCUUAUAAAUUUAAUCUUUAUUCUCCAGCUUUUCCUACUAUUCCCCAAAUCUUUCAUUGUAAUUAAUGGAGCAUCAUUGUUAGCAUUUGUUUUAAUUAGAUAAUUGUUUCCAUGAUCUGUACAAAUGUUUUGCAUGAUCUCCCAGUUUUUGUGACACAUUGUUACAAGUAUCUAGAUUUGAAUUUCCAUGUGGACUAUUCGAAGGAGUUUAAGCUGGGGGCAAAAGUUGCGACUAAAUUUGAAUACAGGAGACCUUGGACAAACUGACUGGACUCGAUCAACACUUGACCACAUAUCAACAUCCAACUAUGAUAUGUUGAUUCUUCCAAGGGACUUGCGUUUUUUGUGCCUCUGCAUAGCUGAGCUGAUUAGAAUUUUAAUGAAUUUGAAAGCACUGAGCUAGAUUUAAGCUUUGAAUAUCUCACAAAGGAAUAACGUCAGAGGGAUGAAUGUUAAGGCAACAGUUGCUAUAGGCACAAAGAACACAAAUGAUGCUGAUGAUACAUCCUAGACUAUUGAUUUGAAUCAAGCUUUGGUAUUUCCUGAUUGUAUAAAAAAUGUGCAUUAUUAUUUGUUAAUAGCUGGCGGAGAUACAUUUCCUAAUCAUGCAUUGCGUAAUGUGACAAUGGAUUUGGAAGUAAAGUGACAGGUUGUGCUAGAUACAUAUCAGAAACUUGAUGAAACUUGAGGUGCUUGGCUUGAUUAAUCAGUAAUUAAGUAGUCAUAGCCCAUAAAUUCAUCACAACGGGGAAGAAUAAAUUUUAUUACAAUGUUGCAAUGAUUUAAAACUUCUAAUUAGAAUGAGUAUAAUCAGUGUGAUCUGGGAGAGUUUAGAAACCUUCACUUACAUAUUUGGUCAUCGAAAGGUAUGAUGAUAUGUUUUUGCUUUCUACCUUAUCAAUAGUCAUCAUUUCUUUGGGGAUGCAUCUUUUAGUCAGUGAUUGGAGGAGCCUUGAUAGACAAAUAUGGAGGCAAGAAAGUGAUUUCUUGGGGGGUGGCAUUGUGGUCUUUGGCAACUCUACUUACGCCAUGGGCUGCAAAUCACUCAACAACCAGUCUCUUAGUUGUUCGGGCAUUCUUCGGAUUGGCUGAAGGAGUUGCUUUACCAUCAAUGAACACCCUGUUAUCAAAGUGGUUUCCCAGUCAUGAAAGAGCAACUGCUGUUGUAUAUUAUCCAUGGGUGGUUUUCAUCUUGCAAAUGUCAUGGGCUUACUGCUAAACUAGCAAUGUCAACUGUAGGAUUGUCUAGCCCUUUCAUGCUCUUCUCUAGGAUUGCUAUGGUCAACUAUCUGGCCCUUUUGUGUGAAAUGAUCUAGAAGAAAGCAAUCCUAUUACCGUAUCAGAACUACGAUUGAUCCAAGCUGGGAAAUGUGAUUCUCCUCUUGACAAGAGCAGCCUACCUCCUCUAGGGCUUUUAUUAUCUAAAAUGCCCACCUAUGGGUUAUCAUUUUUGCAAACAUCAUUAACAAUUGGUAGGCUUUCAAUCAAAAAUUUAACAUUUUGAUGUAAAGCAUUUUUGCAUUAGUAGGAUUUGAAAGAUGUACUUUUGUGCGGGACUGCGGGGAUACUUUUUUCUUCUAUCAUGGAUGCCAGUGUAUUUUUAAACUGUGAUACUUUCUCUUAGCUU